rnacentral:hammerhead_ribozyme from 1 species
AUUCAGCUGACUAGUCCCAAAUAGAACGAAAUGUGCGUCCUCGAU